CGGGGCGUAGCGCAGCCUGGUAGCGCAUCUGGUUUGGGACCAGGAGGUCGCACGUUCGAAUCGUGUCGCCCCGACCA
rnacentral:tRNA from 1 species